GUCAGAUCCACUUGACCACUUCCCAUCCGCCUUGUCCUUGCCCUAGUGGGUUUAUUCAUUCUCGUCCGCGUUAUUGCGUAGUCGGAUCGAUGGUUACCCGCCUACAGACACUCCCUGCUUACUUUAUACCACCAAUUAAUGAUACCCAAAUUUCCUUUCUUAUAUCAUAUAAUUAUAUACGCUGGACUUUAUAGAGGCAUGCUUCGUGUUUUCUGCUUGAAAGUGCGCAGGACGGGAGAGGCUGUAAUUCAGUGGGUAAAGCAGGGAAUGACAUUGAUACAAUAGCUGCUACUUAGAUGUAAACCAAACCCAAGGAAGUGAAAAAUGCUAGACUAGAGAAAGGACCAGGAGAAUAAGAAAAAUGAGAAGCAUACACUAGUUCGUCAGAUUGCCUCUGCAGUAUGUAAUUUAUGGAUGCAAUUUCAAGGAAUUCCUAGUUUUCUCAUGAUUUCCUUGCGGGUAGAACAUCUAUAAGGAUGGUUCCUGGAAAGCAUGAAGAGCCAGCGAUGGUGAUGGAUACCAACUACCAACUGGUUGUUUGUAUUUAGUCACAAUGUUAUCCUCUGCUACUUUAUACUUCAAUUAUCAUCAUUGAGCUGUGUCCAUGUUGGCCUCUGGUUAGUUUAUUAGCAAGUCCAUCUCAGCUAAACUUAAAGAAACGGCAAGUAGCUGGACCAUCUGCUAUUGUCUUGACCUGCUGUUUGGGGAUUUCUGCCUCAUUCUCUUGCAACACAACAUUAUUAGCUCCUACGGUCUGCAACCUUGCCUCGUCUCUGUGCCGGCUCCUACAACUCUGCUUCCCACUUCUACAUCCGUGUGUUCAUCCACUGCUAUAUUCAUUGGUUAUUUCUACAUCCAUUCCAGAAACACUUUCGAUUGCUCGUCUAUCGAUUUUCAGCUUUCUUAUUCAUCACUGUGUCUAGAAGCAAUUCUGGUUCUAUCUUCAGUUUAUUCAACCCAAAAAGUAAACCCUGCAACCCAAUGGAAGUGGCGUUAGCUAGCGCUGCCUUAAGCGUUAGCUUGAAAUUGGCUGCAUCACCUGUCUUGAAGAAGCUCCUUGCUGAUGCUUCAACCUACCUCGACGUGCACAUGGCCCAUGAGCUCCACGAACUGGAGACAAUUAUCUUGCCACAGUUCGAGUUGUUGAUUGAAGCAGCAGACAAGGGAAACCACAGGCCCAAGUUGGACAAAUGGCUUCAGGAACUCAAAGAAGGCUUCUACCUGGCUGAAGACUUGUUGGACGAGCAUGAGUACAACCUCCUCAAGCGCAAAGCAAAGGGGAAGGAUUCCAUGCCGGCCACCAUCAACAAAGCUUUUAUGAAGCCUCUGCAUUCUGUAACAAGCAGGUUGUCCAAUCUGAGCUCUGAGAACAGAAAGCUAAUUUGCCAUCUGAAGGAGCUGAAGGCUACCCUUGGGAAAGCCAAGGACUUCCAUCAAUUGCUAUCCUUACCAGCUGGUUGUGGUUAUAAUGGAGAGAGCCCCGCCAAAACAUCAGCUGCUGUUCCCGAGACCACAUCAAUACCACCUCUGAGAGUGAUUGGCCGUGAUAAGGACCGUGAUCACAUAAUAGAUCGACUUACCAAGACAACUGCUUCUACCGAGUCUAGUAUAUCUAUGUACUCAGGUUUGGCCAUUGUAGGAGCAGGAGGCAUGGGGAAGUCCACCUUAGCACAACAUGUUUUCAAUGACAAGAGGAUAAAAGAAUAUUUUGAUGUAACAAUGUGGGUAAGUAUCUCACGCAAACUUGAUGUCCGUCAUCAUACACGGGAGAUCAUUGAGUCUGCCUCUCAGGGGGAAUGCCCACACAUUGAUAACCUUGAUACAUUGCAACGUAAGUUGUUUGACAUACUGCAAGAAUCAGGGAAAUUCCUGCUUGUGUUGGAUGAUGUUUGGUUUGAACCUGGCAGCGAGAGGGAAUGGGAGAAUCUGUUAGCUCCUCUACUCUCCCAACAGAAGGGAAGCAAAGUUUUGGUGACUUCUCGACGGGAUACAUUUCCAGCUGCUCUUUACUGUGUAGAAGUGUGUCCUCUAGAAAACAUGGAAGAUGCAUAUUUCUUGGCACUCUUCAAACACCAUGCUUUCUCUGGACCAGAAAUUGGAAAUCUGCAGUUGCGUGGAAGGCUGGAAGAUUUUGCUGAGAAGAUUGCUAAAAGGCUUGGACAAUCUCCUUUGGCGGCCAAAGUUGUGGGUUCCCAGUUGAAAGGGAUAACAAACAUAUCUACAUGGAAGGAUGCUCUAACUUUGAUGAUUGACAAAUCAAGUGAGCCUAUGACAGCACUGUUGUGGAGUUAUGAGAAGUUAGAUCCUUGUGUGCAGAGGUGCUUCCUAUAUUGCAGCUUGUUCCCGAAAGGCCACAAGUAUGUCAUCAAUGAGUUGGUUCAUCUUUGGAUGGCAGAGGGCCUCAUUGAUUCGUGCAACCAAAAGAAGAGAGUGGAAGAUAUUGGGAGGGAUUGCUUCAAGGAGAUGAUCUCUGUUUCGUUCUUUCAAAUGGUUGAUAAGAAAUUCGGUUGCACAUACUAUGUUAUGCAUGAUCUCCUUCAUGAUCUGGCAGAAUCACUCUCCACGGAGGACUACUUCAGGUUGGAAGAUGAUAAGGUGACAGAAAUACCAACCACAGUUCGACAUAUAUCCGUCCGUGUUGAUAGUAUGAUGCAACACAAGCAAAGUAUAUGCAUGCUACAUCAUUUACGCACUAUUAUCUGCAUAGACCCCCUAAUGGAUGAUGUAAGUGACAUUUUUAAUCAGAUAAUACGGAAUUUGAAGAAGUUGCGCGUCCUAUAUCUGUCAUCUUACACCAGUAGUAAGUUGCCAGAAUCUGUUGGUGAGUUGAAGCACCUUCGAUAUUUAAACAUCAUAAGAACACUGAUUUCCGAAUUUCCAAGAUCUUUGUGUACUCUUUACCACUUGCAGCUACUUCUGGUAAAUGAUAUAGUUGAGAGUUUCCCUGAGAAACUCUGCAAUUUAAGGAAGUUACGACAUCUUGACUCGAAUGAUUACCGAACAAACGAGCGGAAAGCACCGCCUCAAAUUCCUCACAUUGGCAAGCUAACUUCACUUCAACAAGUUCAGAAAUUUUCUGUGCAAAAGAAAAUGGGAUAUGAAUUGCUACAGCUGAGGGAUAUGAAUGAGAUCUGUGGCAGUUUAAGUGUCACAAAUCUUGAGAAUGUCACUGGGAAAGAUGAAGCAUUAGAAUCGAAGUUGCAUCAAAAAAGUCAUCUUGGUAGCUUGCGACUUGAAUGGUGUUGCCAGAAUAACACCAAUGCAGAGGAUAGUUUACAUUUGGAGAUUUUGGAAGGCCUGAUGCCCCCGCCUCAACUUGAGAAUCUUACAAUUGACGGUUACAAUUCUUCAAAAUAUCCAGGUUGGUUACUUGAUGGUUCGUAUUUUGAGAAUUUAGAAUCUUUGAGGUUUGAAAAUUGCAGCGCAUUACAAGGCCUACCAUCCAACACUGAGCUAUUUGAGAAUUGCUCUUCACUUACCCUCUUCAAUGUGCCAAACCUGAAGACAUUACCUUGUCUUCCACUGGGCCUUACAUGGUUAGGAAUAUCCAACUGCCCACUGCUUAUAUUUGUUUCCAAUGAUGAGCUGGAACAUCGAGAACAGAGCGAGAAUAUCAUGCGUAUAGACCACUUGGCGUCACAACUUGGUUUACUCUGGGAGGUGGAUUCAGGAUCAGAUAUUAGGAGAAUACUCUCAUCGGAACAUUCAUUUCUGAAGCAGCUGAUGAUAUUGAUGCAUGCUGAUGUCUCACGUGUUCAUGACCUUGGAAGUGUCCUUGGAAGAAGGAAAAAGAAAGUGGUUAAAGAGGAUAUCAUCAACGCAUGGAUAAACUGUCACAAGCAGAUGAUGAGUCUCGUGCAUGGAAGGAGCAUUAGGCUGCCACUGGUUCCACCAUCGGGGCUUCGUGGGCUUUCUCUUUCUUCAUGCAGUAUUACAGAUGAAGCUCUAGCUGUUUGCCUUGAUGGCCUCACUUCACUGAAUAGUUUGUUCUUACAAAAAAUUAUGACUUUAACCACACUUCCUUCAGAAGAGGUCCUCCAACAUUUGACAAAACUUCGCCGCUUGAACAUCAUAAGUUGCUGGUGUCUCAGGUCAUUAGGGGGUUUACGAGCUGCUACCUCUCUUUCAGAUGUUAACUUGAAUUCAUGCCCUUCUUUAGAGUUGGCAAAUGGAGCAGAAUGUUUACCGUUAUCUCUUGAGAGGCUCAGUAUAUGGUAUUGCGUGCUUGCAGCUGACUUCUUCUGUGCUGACUGGCCACACAUGAAUGGUAUUUCCAUAUACAAUUGCAGAAGCAGCGCAUGCUUAUCUGUUGGUAGUCUCACAUCUGUUGAAUCAUUCACACUAUAUCAUUUGCCAGAUUUAUGUACGCUCGAAGGAUUGUCUUCCCUCCAACUUCACCACGUACAUUUGAUUGAUGUUCCGAAACUCACGCCUGAGUGUGUCUCGCAGUUUCGAGUCCAGAAGUCACUCUAUGUUAGCAGUCCUGUAAUACUCAACAAUGUGCUCUCGUCUGAAGGUUCCAUCGUUCCAGAAUUUCUCUCUCUUGAAGGAUGCAAGGAACCAUUUGUUUCAUUGGAAGAAUCUGCAAAUUUCACAUUAGUCAAGACCCUGAGAUUCUGUGGUUGUCGGAUGAUUUCCCUGCCAACAAAUCUGAAGUCCUUCUCCAAUCUGAAGAGGCUCGAUAUUUAUAGCUGCCCCAGCAUAUCAUCUUUACCAGAUUUGCCAUCCUCCCUCCAGCACAUAAGUGUAUGGUAUUGUAGUGAGCUCUUGAAGGAGAACUGCCGAGCACCUGAUGGAGAAAGUUGGCCAAAGAUCGCGCAUAUCCGCUGGAAGGAAUUUAGAGAUAAACUGAUUUAGAUUUCCACCUACAAAUAAACUGAAAGGUAAAUGAGCUCCCAUCGGCCACCUAUGCACCCUCAAAGAUGCGUAAGAUGUGUGCUGUCCAGCAGCAACCUGUUACGAGAUGCAGUGCCCAAGGCCGGCUCAUCUUAGAGUUCACCCGUGUCUCCUUCACCAGCUAGCCAGUGCCAAUCUCCUGCUUCGCUGACGGCUGAUCUGCCUCACGCUUUGCCCUCUCGCAUUCCACCACCUCCUGUCCUCUGGUGCCACCGUCACUAACGGUGGAUUAUGUACCUGUGUUGCCAGUUACCAUUUUGUUCAUGAUAUUAUUCAUUGCUGAAAGUAUUGUCUAAUUUGCAUCUCCUUAUUGUCGGCCUGUUCUGCCAGCCUCUCAUUGAGUAUGUAGUACGGUUCGUGUGUAUGGAUUGUAAUUCUACCACCUCCUGGACCACCUCCUGUCCUCUGGUGCCACUAUUAUUAAUGGUUGUUUUUAUAAAUGUGUUGUUGGUUAUCUUUUUCGUCAUG